rnacentral:lncRNA from 1 species
GGUAUCAGGGCAAGCAGCCCAAUCACUGUCAGAAUAACCACUCAAAGAGAAAUCAUCAUUGGCAGUGUAGAAAAGGCCCAUAGAAGGAGUCCCUUUAAGAUAUCACAACACAUGUAGAGCAGCAGUCAUAUGAGGGAGUCGGGGGCACUUGAGAAACUGACUCAGAUGUUGCACAGCAAAACAGAUAUCAGGUCUAGUAUGUGUCAAAAAUAAGAGCUUACCCACUAAACUCCUAAACUGAUCAGGAGAGGGUAAGAGGUCACCACAAUANNNNNNNNNNNNNNNNNNNNNNNNNNNNNGAUCAGGAGAGGGUAAGAGGUCACCACAAUCAGCAAGAAGUUUGACAUUUGUAUCCAAAGGACAGACAACAGAAGAUACAUUAGAGCAGUCAAACUGAUGCAACAAGUCAGAAAUAUAUUUCUGCUGAUUGAGGAUCAUUCCACCAGGAACAGAAGACAUCUGAAUACCCAAGAAAAAAUGCAAGGACCCUAGGUCCUUGAUUUUAAACUGAUCAUCAAGGAACAGUUUCAGGGCAGUGAUUUCAUCAUUGUCAUCUCCAGUGAUAAUAAUAUCAUCCACAUACACUGCUAGAAUUACUAAAGACCCAGGUGUGCCUUUGAUGAAUAAAGAAUAGUCAUUCAAAGAGUGUUUAUAUCCUNNN